AUCACCAGAAUCAACGGGGACGAUCACUAUUAUCAAUUUUUGGUGAAAACAAUAACCUAAGACAGAACAUGGGAAAUUUCAUAAGCAUGGCACCAUGCCAUCUCUGGUAGAGGAGGACUAACGCAGCAUUCGACAUGUUAGAAGAAUUUGUUAUGUUGUAGAAUCAUUGUUUAUAAAAAAUUAUGUGAUGUGAACUUGCCAAAUGCUAAUAUUUUUAGGAAUAUUUAUGUGUGAUAAUCAGUAAGAUGAAACAGUAACUGCCAUAGAUUUUGUAUAUAUCUGUUAUAGGAAAAGGCCAGAGUUCAUAUUGAGUUUCGAUUAAAAAAAAUUAUGAAACUGGAGAGUUAUCAUACCAAAUUGUGAACAAUCGAAAUGGUUUACAAUCAUAACAUUUAAAGCACAGAAAAUAAAGAGUAAGAGCUUUUUUAAAAGCCUGCUUCCCAAGAAAAAAAUUGAAA
rnacentral:lncRNA from 1 species